UCAAGAAACCUCCACAAUGGGCGAAAGCCUGAUGGAGCGACGUCGCGUGAUGGACGAAGUGCUUCGGCACGUAAACAUCUUUUAUGUGGGAUGAAAUUAUUGACAGUACCACAUGAAUAAGGGGCUCCUAACUCUGUGCCAGCAGGAGCGGUAAUACAGAGGCCCCAAGCGUUAUCCGGAAUCACUGGGCGUAAAGGGUGUCGAGGCGGUUGUAUUAGUCGUUCGUAAAAUCUACGAGCUUAACUUGUAGGCGGCGAACGAAACGGUACGACUUGAGGUUUGGAGAGGUGCGUGGAACUCACGGUGUAGGGGUGAAAUCCGUUGAUAUCGUGGGGAACACCAAAGGCGAAGGCAGCGCACUGGCCAAAAUCUGACGCUCACACACGAAAGCUAGGGUAGCGAAGAGGAUUAGAUACCCACGUAGUCCCUGAGCGGGCUGGCAAGGCGCAU
rnacentral:rRNA from 1 species